GACGAACGCUGGCGGCGUGCUUAACACAUGCAAGUCGAACGGAAAGGCCCUGCUUUUGUGGGGUGCUCGAGUGGCGAACGGGUGAGUAAAACAUGAGUAACCUGCCCUUGACUUUGGGAUAACUUCAGGAAACUGGGGCUAAUACCGGAUAGGAGAUCCUGCUGCAUGGUGGGGGUUGGAAAGUUUCGGCGGUUUGGGAUGGACUCGCGGCUUAUCAGCUUGUUGGUGUGGUAGUGGCGUACCAAGGCUUUGACGGGUAGCCGACCUGAGAGGGUGACCAGCGACAUUGGGCCUGAGAUACGGCGCAGACGCGUACGGGAGGCAGCAGGGGGGAAUAUUGCGGAGUAGGGGGGAGCGAGAUGCAGAAGUGCCGCGUGCGGGAUGACCGCCUUCGGGUGGUGAACCGCUUUGGCCGUUGACGAAGCGUGAUUGACGGUAACUGGUAAAGAAGCACCGGCUAACUACGUG
rnacentral:rRNA from 1 species